UCCCGUGUGGCUCAGCUGGUAGCGCAUGGCACUUGCAAUUCCAGGGUUGUGGGUUUGAUUCCCACUGGGGAC
rfam:Salmo salar isolate Sally breed double haploid chromosome ssa01, whole genome shotgun sequence.